GACGAAAGCUGGCGGCGUGCUUAACACAUGCAAGUCGAACGGUAAGGCCCUUCGGGGUACACGAGUGGCGAACGGGUGAGUAACACGUGGGUGAUCUGCCCUGCACUUCGGGAUAAGCCUGGGCAACUGGGUCUAAUACCGGAUAGGACCACUGCCUGCAUGGGUGGUGGUGGAAAGCUUUUGCGGUGUGGGAUGGGCGCGCGGCGUAUGAGCUUGUUGGUGGGGUGAUGGCCUACCAAGGCGACGACGGGUAGCCGGCCUGGGAGGGUGACCGGCCACACUGGGACUGAGAUACGGCCCAGACUCCUACGGGAGGCAGCAGUGGGGAAUAUUGCACAAUGGGCGCAAGCCUGAGUCAGCGACGCCGCGUGAGGGAUGACGGCCUUCGGGUUGUAAACCUCUUUCAGCACCGACGAAGCGCAAGUGACGGUAGGUGCAGAAGAAGGACCGGCCAACUACGUGCCAGCAGCCGCAGUAA
rnacentral:rRNA from 1 species